UAUAUUCCAAAGCACAUAUGCGAAUCUUGACCGUCAAUUUCCCCCGAUCAAAUAACUCAAAAGUCCAAUCUCCCCUUCUUUAGCUCUGUGUCCGUGCUCUCCACACUCUACUGCUAGGGUUUUUUUACAAUUUCUUUCAAAAUUUUAACUUUUAAGAGACGUUGAAAUGGGAAAAAGUUAUCCAACUGUGAGUGAGGAUUACCAGAAGGCCGUUGUAAAAUGCAAGAGACAGUUAAGAGCGCUCAUUGCUUAUAAGAACUGCGCUCCUCUCAUGCUCCGUCUCGCAUGGCACUCUGCUGGUACGUUUGAUGUUUGCAGCAAAACUGGAGGUCCUUUUGGGACCAUGAGGCUUAAGGCUGAGCAGGCACACUCAGCCAAUAAUGGCAUUGACAUUGCUAUUGGGCUCUUGGAGCCCAUAAAAGAGCUAUUUCCCAUCCUUUCUUAUGCUGAUUUCUAUCAGUUGGCUGGAGUUGUUGCUGUUGAAGUUACAGGAGGACCCGAAGUUCCAUUCCACCCAGGAAGGCAGGACAAGAAUGAGCCACCUGUUGAAGGUCGUUUGCCUGAUGCUACAAAGGGAUCUGACCAUUUGAGGGAUGUCUUUAUCAAACAAAUGGGUUUGAGUGACAAGGAUAUUGUUGCACUCUCUGGCGGCCACACCCUGGGAAGAUGCCACAAGGAACGUUCUGGAUUCGAGGGACCCUGGACUUCCAAUCCCCUCAUCUUCGAUAAUUCUUACUUCAAGGAGCUUCUGAGUGGCGAGAAAGAAGGACUUCUGCAGUUGCCAUCUGACAAGGCUCUUCUCUCUGAUUCCAUCUUUCACCCACUCGUUGAGAAAUAUGCUGCGGUUGGAUGAAGAUGCCUUCUUUGCCGAUUAUGCCGAGGCUCACCUGAAACUUUCUGAAUUGGGAUUUGCCGAUGCAUAAUCUUAAUUCACGUGCUGCAAUUUGGGUGUGUUGGCCUAUUUUUUGUCUAUCCUUUAUGUUUAAGUUCUUGUAAAACUAGGUGGAUCUAUUCACCUUUUGUGCUUUGAUGGAUUUGUUGCAUUUGGAAUUGCUGUUGCAAUCAAUGAUAUAUGGUCAUGACCUCCCUGAAAUAAAUUAGAACAUUUGCGGUCUCGCCCUC